rnacentral:lncRNA from 1 species
AGUACUGCUCUGUUAGCAGUAGGAGAAAAUGAAAGAAUUCAGUGUCAGCAUUUUCUGUUUCUCAUCUGACAAACAAGGUCAGGUACUUCUUUGAACAACCCAGUUCCAAUAGCUGUGAAACAUAAAGAGACAAGCAGGGGAAGAUUUUCCAGAAAGGCUGGUGGCUAGGCACAAGCAAAUUACACCAUUAAUGUCAUCCUGGUGAAUGAAACAAGAGAAUAGUAUUUAUCAGAGAAAGUCUGGUGAGUUGAAGUCUGAGACCCCAGGAAAAAACUAGCCCUCCUGGGCUGCCCCUCCUUUGGAGUGGGACUAUGAUCCACAUCAGGCCAAUCCGAGUCACAGAAUGGUCUAGGCAUUGGAUGACUGCCCCAAUCUGAGCCAAGGAAGGUCAUUGCUGAGACAUUUUGCUGGUUGCCAGGCUGCAGGCAUCCCAGGCUUCCUGCUGCCCUCAUGUCUGCAACCUGUGGUCUGGAACAUUCCAGGAGCCACUUUUAUCACUUGCAGCAAUCUUCUUCAAAUACCACAGACUGGGCAAUUUAUAAAUGAUGGAAGUUUAUUUGGCUCAUGGUUCUGGAGACUGGGAAGUCCAAGAACAUGGCACUGUCAUCUGUUG